rnacentral:tRNA from 1 species
GCGGGAGUGGCGAAAUUGGUAGACGCACCAGAUUUAGGUUCUGGCGCCGCAAGGUUGUGCGAGUUCAAGUCUCGCCUCCCGCACCA